rnacentral:rRNA from 1 species
AAUCAACGCUGGCGGCGUGCCUCAGACAUGCAAGUCGAACGCGAAAGUUUCCUUCGGGAGGCGAGUAGAGUGGCGCACGGGUGAGUAACACGUAGGUAAUCUACCUUUGGGUGGGGAAUAACAGCCGGAAACGGCUGCUAAUACCGCAUAAUGCAGCGGCUCGACAUCGAGACAGUUGUUAAAGCGGGGGAUCGCAAGACCUCGCGCCUAAAGAGGAGCCUGCGGCGGAUUGGCUAGUUGGUGAGGUAAUGGCUCACCAAGGCAUCGAUCCGUAGCCGGCCUGAGAGGGCGGUCGGCCACACUGACACUGACAUACGGGUCAGACUCCUACGGGAGGCAGCAGUCGGGAAUUUUGGGCAAUGGGCGCAAGCCUGACCCAGCAACGCCGCGUGAAGGAUGAAAUCCCUCGGAUGUAAACUUCGCAAGAACAGGAAGAAUAAGU